rnacentral:rRNA from 1 species
GGUGAACGCUGGCGGCGUGCCUAAGACAUGCAAGUCGAGCGGGGCAGGUUUAUACCUGUUCAGCGGCGGACGGGUGAGUAACGCGUGGGUGACCUACCCGGAAGAUGCGGACAACCUGGGGAAACCCAGGCUAAUCCGCCAUGUGGUCCUGUCCUGUGGGGCAGGACUAAAGGGUGGAUAGCCCGCUUCCGGAUGGGCCCGCGUCCCAUCAGCUAGUUGGUGGGGUAAAGGCCCACCAAGGCGACGGCGGGUAGCCGGUCUGAGCGGAUGGCCGGCCACAGGGGCACUGAGACACGGGACCCACGCCGACGGGAGGCAGCAGUGAGGAAUCUUCCGCAAUGGACGGAAGUCUGACGGAGCGACGCCGCUUGGAGGAGGAAGCCCUUCGGGGUGUAAACUCCUGAACUGGGGACGAAAGCCCUGGGUAGGGGGAUGACGGUACCCAGGGAAUAGCACCGGCCAACUCCGUGC